UAGAGCACUGGAUAGGCGAUGGGCCCUACCGGGUUACUGACCUUAGCCAAACUCCGAAUGCCGGUAAGUGAGAGCGCGGCAGUGAGACUGUGGGGGAUAAGCUCCAUGGUCGAGAGGGAAACAGCCCAGAGCAUCGACUAAGGCCCCUAAGCGUACGCUAAGUGGGAAAGGAUGUGGAGUCGCACAGACAACCAGGAGGUUGGCUUAGAAGCAGCCACCCUUGAAAGAGUGCGUAAUAGCUCACUGGUCUAGUGAUUCCGCGCCGACAAUGUAGCGGGCUCAAGCGUACCGCCGAAGUCGUGUCAUUGCGAUAUAUACCCCCAACGGGGAUCGUGAUGGGUAGGGGAGCGUCGUGUGCCGGGUGAAGCAGCACCGGAAGGUAGUUGUGGACGGUUCACGAGUGAGAAUGCAGGCAUGAGUAGCGAUUCACACGUGAGAAACGUGUGCGCCGAUUGACUAAGGGUUCCUGGGUCAAGCUGAUCUGCCCAGGGUAAGUCGGGACCUAAGGCGAGGCCGACAGGCGUAGUCGAUGGAUAACCGGUUGAUAUUCCGGUACCCGCUGUGAAGCGUCAAACAUCGAAUCCAGUGAUGCUAAGCCCGUGAAGCCGUUCCGGACCCUUCGGGGAAAGGAAAGUGGUGGAGCCGGUGACCCGAUCUGGUAGUAGGUGAGUGAUGGGGUGACGCAGGAAGGUAGUCCAGCCCGGGCGGUGGUUGUCCCGGGGUAAGGGUGUAGGCCGUGCGGUAGGUAAAUCCGUCGCACACAAGGCUGAGACCUGAUGCCGAGCCGAUUGUGGUGAAGUGGAUGAUCCUAUGCUGUCGAGAAAAGCCUCUAGCGAGUUUCAUGGCGGCCCGUACCCUAAACCGACUCAGGUGGUCAGGUAGAGAAUACCGAGGCGUUCGGGUGAACUAUGGUUAAGGAACUCGGCAAAAAUGCCCCCGUAACUUCGGGAGAAGGGGGGCCACAUCUGGUGAUGAGCUUUGCGCUCUGAGCUGGGGGUGGCCGCAGAGACCAGCGAGAAGCGACUGUUUACUAAAAACACAGGUCCGUGCGAAGCCGUAAGGCGAUGUAUACGGACUGACGCCUGCCCGGUGCUGGAACGUUAAGGGGACCGGUUAGCUCCAUUUCGGUGGGGCGAAGCUGAGAACUUAAGCGCCAGUAAACGGCGGUGGUAACUAUAACCAUCCUAAGGUAGCGAAAUUCCUUGUCGGGUAAGUUCCGACCUGCACGAAUGGCGUAACGACUUCUCGACUGUCUCAACCAUAGGCCCGGUGAAAUUGCACUACGAGUAAAGAUGCUCGUUUCGCGCAGCAGGACGGAAAGACCCCGGGACCUUUACUACAGUUUGAUAUUGGUGUUCGGUUCGGCUUGUGUAGGAUAGCUGGGAGACUGUGAAGCGCUAACGCCAGUUAGUGUGGAGUCGUCGUUGAAAUACCAGUCUGGUCGUGCUGGAUGUCUAACCUGGGUCCGUGAUCCGGAUCAGGGACAGUGUCUGAUGGGUAGUUUAACUGGGGCGGUUGCCUCCUAAAGAGUAACGGAGGCGCCCAAAGGUUCCCUCAGCCUGGUUGGCAAUCAGGUGUUGAGUGUAAGUGCACAAGGGAGCUUGACUGUGAGACCGACGGGUCGAGCAGGGACGAAAGUCGGGACUAGUGAUCCGGCGGUGGCUUGUGGAAGCGCCGUCGCUCAACGGAUAAAAGGUACCCCGGGGAUAACAGGCUGAUCUUCCCCAAGAGUCCAUAUCGACGGGAUGGUUUGGCACCUCGAUGUCGGCUCGUCGCAUCCUGGGGCUGGAGUCGGUCCCAAGGGUUGGGCUGUUCGCCCAUUAAAGCGGUACGCGAGCUGGGUUUAGAACGUCGUGAGACAGUUCGGUCCCUAUCCGCUGUGCGCGUAGGAGUCUUGAGAAGGGCUGUCCCUAGUACGAGAGGACCGGGACGGACGAACCUCUGGUGUGCCAGUUGUUCUGCCAAGGGCAUGGCUGGUUGGCUACGUUCGGGAGGGAUAACCGCUGAAAGCAUCUAAGCGGGAAGCCUGCUUCGAGAUGAGGACUCCCACCUCCUAGAGAGGGUAAGGCUCCCAGUAGACGACUGGGUUGAUAGGCCGGAUAUGGAAGCACGGUAACGUGUGGAGUUGACCGGUACUAAUAGGCCGAGGGCUUGUCCUC
rnacentral:ncRNA from 1 species